GAAAAAGCAUUGAGAUGGAAAGUACAAUCAGUAAAUUUAUCAAACAGAGAGCUUGGGUAGCUGAGAACAAGCGAUAAACACUGAUUAGAAAAUGGCCAUUGAGCAGCGUUCCGAAUGGAUAGUUUCAUGAGGCAACGACGUGAGCACACGUUAACGUGCUAGAGUAUCCUAUAAGUAGCGUACUUGAAGAGGAUCGUUAUGUGAAUAACGAUUAAAAUAGAGGUGGUAACACGCAAAAAGCGUCCUCAAG
rnacentral:ncRNA from 1 species